rnacentral:rRNA from 1 species
UCGAUUCCCUUAGUAGCGGCGAGCGAAACGGGAAGAGCCCAAACCAACAAGCUUGCUUGUUGGGGUUGUAGGACACUCUAUACGGAGUUACAAAGGACGACAUUAGACGAAUCAUCUGGAAAGAUGAAUCAAAGAAGGUAAUAAUCCUGUAGUCGAAAAUGUUGUCUCUCUUGAGUGGAUCCUGAGUACGACGGAGCACGUGAAAUUCCGUCGGAAUCUGGGAGGACCAUCUCCUAAGGCUAAAUACUCUCUAGUGACCGAUAGUGAACCAGUACCGUGAGGGAAAGGUGAAAAGCACCCCGGAAGGGGAGUGAAAUAGAACCUGAAACCGUGUGCUUACAAGUAGUCAGAGCCCGUUAAUGGGUGAUGGCGUGCCUUUUGUAGAAUGAACCGGCGAGUUACGAUUUGAUGCAAGGUUAAGCAGUAAAUGUGGAGCCGUAGCGAAAGCGAGUCUGAAUAGGGCGUUUAGUAUUUGGUCGUAGACCCGAAACCAGGUGAUCUACCCUUGGUCAGGUUGAAGUUCAGGUAACACUGAAUGGAGGACCGAACCGACUUACGUUGAAAAGUGAGCGGAUGAACUGAGGGUAGCGGAGAAAUUCCAAUCGAACCUGGAGAUAGCUGGUUCUCUCCGAAAUAGCUUUAGGGCUAGCCUCAAGUGAUGAUUAUUGGAGGUAGAGCACUGUUUGGACGAGGGGCCCCUCUCGGGUUACCGAAUUCAGACAAACUCCGAAUGCCAAUUAAUUUAACUUGGGAGUCAGAACAUGGGUGAUAAGGUCCGUGUUCGAAAGGGAAACAGCCCAGACCACCAGCUAAGGUCCCAAAAUAUAUGUUAAGUGGAAAAGGAUGUGGCGUUGCCCAGACAACUAGGAUGUUGGCUUAGAAGCAGCCAUCAUUUAAAGAGUGCGUAAUAGCUCACUAGUCGAGUGACACUGCGCCGAAAAUGUACCGGGGCUAAACAUAUUACCGAAGCUGUGGAUUGUCCUUUGGACAAUGGUAGGAGAGCGUUCUAAGGGCGUUGAAGCAUGAUCGUAAGGACAUGUGGAGCGCUUAGAAGUGAGAAUGCCGGUGUGAGUAGCGAAAGACGGGUGAGAAUCCCGUCCACCGAUUGACUAAGGUUUCCAGAGGAAGGCUCGUCCGCUCUGGGUUAGUCGGGUCCUAAGCUGAGGCCGACAGGCGUAGGCGAUGGAUAACAGGUUGAUAUUCCUGUACCACCUAUAAUCGUUUUAAUCGAUGGGGGGACGCAGUAGGAUAGGCGAAGCGUGCGAUUGGAUUGCACGUCUAAGCAGUAAGGCUGAGUAUUAGGCAAAUCCGGUACUCGUUAAGGCUGAGCUGUGAUGGGGAGAAGACAUUGUGUCUUCGAGUCGUUGAUUUCACACUGCCGAGAAAAGCCUCUAGAUAGAAAAUAGGUGCCCGUACCGCAAACCGACACAGGUAGUCAAGAUGAGAAUUCUAAGGUGAGCGAGCGAACUCUCGUUAAGGAACUCGGCAAAAUGACCCCGUAACUUCGGGAGAAGGGGUGCUCUUUAGGGUUAACGCCCAGAAGAGCCGCAGUGAAUAGGCCCAA